GAAAGUAAACAAGGGCGCAUGGCGGAUGCCUUGGCUCUCGGAGGCGAUGAAGGACGUGAUAAGCUGCGAUAAGCUCCGGGGAGGUGCAAAUAACCUUUGAUCCGGGGAUUUCCGAAUGGGACAACCCGGCGUGUUGAAGACACGCCACCUGAUCAUUUCAGGAGCUAACGCAGGGAACUGAAACAUCUUAGUACCUGCAGGAAAAGAAAAUAACAAUGAUUCCCCCAGUAGUGGCGAGCGAACGGGGAAUAGCCCAAACCGUUCAUGUUACGGCAUGAUCGGGGUUGUAGGACUACGUCGUUGCAUGAAGACAUCGGAGAAGAACUUUCUGGAAAGAAAGACCAUAGAGCAUGACAGUUGCGUAUUCGUAUGUUGUCGAAGCAUAGUAGUAUCCUGAGUAGCGCGGAGCACGAGGAAUUCUGCGUGAAUCUGCCGGGACCAUCCGGUAAGGCUAAAUACUCCCGAGAGACCGAUAGCGAACCAGUACCGUGAGGGAAAGGUGAAAAGCACUUCGAACAGAAGAGUGAAAUAGUUCCUGAAACCGUGCGCCUACAAGCGGUCGGAGCUCAGCAAUGAGUGACGGCGUGCCUUUUGCAUAAUGAACCUACGAGUUGCCUUUGCCGGCAAGGUUAAGUGUGACGACACACGUAUCCGAAGCGAAAGCGAGUCUGAAGAGGGCGUAUAGUCGGCAGUGGCAGACGCGAAACCAAGUGAUCUACCCUUGGCCAGGUUGAAGGCUGGGUAACACCAGCUGGAGGACCGCACCAAUAAGCGUUGAAAAGCUUCUGGAUGAGCUGAGGGUAGGGGUGAAAGGCUAAUCAAACUUGGAGAUAGCUCGUACUCCCCGAAAUGCAUUUAGGUGCAGCCUUGUGGGUUACUGAUGUGAGGUAGAGCGACUGAUAAGAUGCGAGGGCUUCACCGCCUAUCAAGUCUUGACAAACUCCGAAUGCGCAUCAGUUUUACCUCAGGAGUGAGGGCAUGGGUGCUAAGGUCCGUGCCCGAGAGGAGAAGAAUCCGGACCACCUGCUAAGGUCCCGAAAUGACAGCUAAGUUAAACUAACGAAGUCUGACUGCUAAGACAGCUAGGAUGUUGGCUUGGAAGCAGCCAUUCAUUUAAAGAGUGCGUAACAGCUCACUAGUCGAGGAGUCUGGCGUGGAUAAUAAUCGGGUAUUAAGUUGUCUACCGAAGCAGUGGGAUCAUUGAAAUGAUCGGUAGGGGAGCAUUCCAGUCAGCGUCGAAGGCGUACCGCGAGGUAUUCUGGAGCGUCUGGAAAAGCAAAUGUAGGUAUAAGUAACGAUAAAGGGGGCGGGAAACCCCCUCGCCGAAAGACUAAGGUUUCCUGAUCAACGCUAAUCGGAUCAGGGUAAGUCGGGUCCUAAGGCUCAGCCGAAGGGCGAUGCCGAUGGCAGAAACGGUUAAUAUUCCGUUACUACCUCCAGGAGUGAUGUGGAGACGCAGUAGUGACAAUGCCGCCAUCUGACGGAAUAGAUGGUUGAAGGGUGUAGAUGUUGAUCUUGGCAGGCAAAUCCACCAUGAGAAUCGAACCUGAUAGUAUGCCGCGUCCCUCGGGACAAGGCAAUAGUGCAUGUAAUCAUGCUGCCAAGAAAAUCCGCUAAACUAAAUCCUGUAGGUACCCGUACCGUAAACGGACACACGUAGUCGGGAUGAAUAUUCUAAGGCGCUUGAGUGAUUCACGGUUAAGGAACUAGGCAAACUGACCCUGUAACUUCGGGAUAAAGGGUCCCUACCCGGUGACGGGAGGGCGCAGAGAAUAGGUCCAGGCAACUGUUUAACAAAAACACAGGGCUGUGCUAAAUCGAAAGAUCCUGUAUACAGCCUGACACCUGCCCGGUGCUGGAAGGUUAAGAGGAGACGUCAUCGUUGAGAGAAGCGUUGAAUUGAAGCCCCAGUAAACGGCGGCCGUAACUAUAACGGUCCUAAGGUAGCGAAAUUCCUUGUCGGGUAAGUUC
rnacentral:rRNA from 1 species